CUGUUUUUAAAAAGAAGACUAAUUUGAGUAAGAGCUGUACAGUACAGCUUUUACUUGUCCUGUAUUCGUUUGUAUUCCCUGUUAGAUUUUCUGAUCUACUCCUCCUUCUGUAGGAUCAGGCAGUAGGAGUUUGUCC